rnacentral:lncRNA from 1 species
CCCUAGCAACCGUAAUUAAGGUCUCGUGAACAAGUCUGAGUUAAAACUCAGCACAAACAUGAGUUUAAAGAAGAGAAUUACGGAUAAAACAGAGCCUAUUUCACCAAAGGUUCCCAGGAAACAGCCAUGGAUGGAAAACAAACAUUUGUUCACGCUUCCUCCACUCCUCCAAGGAGCUCCAUCCAGUGUUGGAACCUCCUCAGGUGCAGUAAGUGAGGGUGUGUUGAACUCAGUGAGCCACAGAAGUGCUUCACACUCUCCUGGGACCUUCAGGUGGGGCAGCAGACCUCGUGUUAAGGAGCUGCAAGAAAAGCACAGGAGCAGCC